rnacentral:lncRNA from 1 species
GAACAACCCUCCUGGAAAGCUGCUGAUAUGCAGGCUUUAACUGCAGGAUAAGAAUAAAGAGACACUAUCUCUCCAGAUGGAGGGUUGGGUACCUCUGCCUUCAGCAAAAUGCAUAGGUGGGCCAUGAGACACAUUUGAGUUAGUCAGGGAAGACCCUGUUGUGUGUGUGUGUGUGUGUAUCUGUUCUGAUAUGUAUGUAUCUCCCUCAGGUUGGGAGGUAGUGGGGAAUCAUAUCUGCAGUGGCGCACGGGGCUCUGAUAAUGACUACCUCAUCCUCAACCUCCACGUACCUGGCUUCAAGAGGGCUGUGUGUACAGAUAAUGUGACUGACCUAUCCAGCGCCGACUCUCAGAGAGAGACAGGGGAAUCAGCCAAUGUGGUGGAGAGUUUCAUCUGUCAAUCAACCAUCAUCCCCUCCAGUGGGCGGGGCUUCCGCACAUCACUAUCCUCCCAGUCCACCAGCUCAGCAGACACGUUCUUGGGACACGCUGUGUGUGUAGAAUGA